UACGUAGGGGGCAAGCGUUGUCCGGAAUCAUUGGGCGUAAAGAGCGUGUAGGCGGUCCGGUAAGUCGGCUGUGAAAGUCCAGGGCUCAACCCUGGGAUGCCGGUCGAUACUGCCGGACUAGAGUUCGGAAGAGGCGAGUGGAAUUCCCGGUGUGAGCGGUGAAAUGCGCAGAUAUCGGGAGGAACACCUAUGGCGAAGGCAGCUCGCUGGACGUUACUGACGCUGGAGACGCGAAAGCGUGGG
rnacentral:rRNA from 1 species